CAGAGGGUGCAAGCGUUAAUCGGAUUUACUGGGCGUAAAGCGUGCGUAGGCGGUUCGCUAAGUCGGUUGUGAAAUCCCUGGGCUUAACCUGGGAACUGCAGUCGAUACUGGCGGACUAGAAUGCGGUAGAGGGUGGCGGAACUCCGGGUGUAGCGGUGAAAUGCGUAGAUAUCCGGAAGAACACCGAUGGCGAAGGCAACCACCUGGGCCUGCAUUGACGCUGAGGUACGAAAGCGUGGGGAGCAAACAGGAUUAGAUACCCUGGUAGUCCACGCUGUAAACGAUGAGAACUUGACGUCGGUUCGCCUAGCGAAUCGGUGUCGUAGCUAACGCGCUAAGUUCUCCGCCUGGGGAUACGGCCGCAAGGUUG
rnacentral:rRNA from 1 species